rnacentral:rRNA from 1 species
GACGAACGCUGGCGGCGUGCUUAACACAUGCAAGUCGAACGGAAAGGCCCUGCUUUUGUGGGGUGCUCGAGUGGCGAACGGGUGAGUAACACGUGAGUAACCUGCCCUUGACUUUGGGAUAACUUCAGGAAACUGGGGCUAAUACCGGAUAGGAGCUCCUGCUGCAUGGUGGGGGUUGGAAAGUUUCGGCGGUUGGGGAUGGACUCGCGGCUUAUCAGCUUGUUGGUGGGGUAGUGGCUUACCAAGGCUUUGACGGGUAGCCGGCCUGAGAGGGUGACCGGCCACAUGGGGACUGAGAUACGGCCCAGACUCCUACGGGAGGCAGCGGUGGGGAAUAUUGCACAAUGGGCGGAGGCCUGAUGCAGCAACGCCGCGUGCGGGAUGACGGCCUUCGGGUUGUAAACCGCUUUCGCCUGUGACGAAGCGUGAGUGACGGUAAUGGGUAAAGAAGCACCGGCUAACUACGU